GCUGCCCGCUGUGCGGGAACUUCGCGCCCCGCAUCGCUGCUCGGGAGGGCAGAGGAGGGAGGGCAGAGCAGCGCUGCUGGCGGAGCUCCCCCCUCCAGCCUCGGCGGCCGCGGGGACCUGUGAAGGUGCUGCUGGGGAGAAGAGCAGCGAAGAGCCGGAUAACCAGCGGGGAGGAGAAGGGCAUCCUCCCCGCAGCCUCCAUCCCCCGCGGGGCGCGCUCGGAGCUGCCCGUCCCGGCGCGGGGCGGCGGCGGCCGCUGAAGGUGAAGCUCUCGUUCUCCAAUUACUUUUCCCAAGAGGGAGAAAGAAGGAGGCAGCAGGAGGGGGAAGUCGUGCUGUGUGUGAAAGGCAAACCAAUCAGAGAUGCUCUGACGGCGGGAUUGCUGCAGGACGCGCCGGCUUUCCCUCCCUUUCCCUGCCGGCGGGGCUGAGCCGGGACCGCCGGCGGCCGCCGGGCAUCCUCACCCCCCGCUAUCCCAACAGCUAAUCGUCCUCUUUGAUCGAUCGAUUUAUUUGAACGCUCCGAAACCUCGCCCGAACAGCACUUCGAGUCUUCCCUCUUUCCCCAGGCACUCUCCCCGGUUCGUCGAGCCCCUCUUGGCCGGAUUCCUGCCGUGUUCCCAGCGCGGCUCCCAUGCCCGCGGGCGCUGGCGGGGCGCUCGCCGGCGAUGCCCGGGCGCUGAGGCUGCAGCUCCCCCGCCACGGGAGCCGGCCGCUCGCUAGGUGUUUGCAGCGGGAAGCGGGGCUGCAGGAUGAGUAAGAGGUACUUACCGAAAGCAACAAAAGGAAAACUGCUAAUAAUAAUAUUUGUUGUAACGCUGUGGGGGAAAUUAGCAUCUGGGGCAAAUCAUCAUAAAGCUCACCAUGUUAAAACUGGGACCUGUGAAGUGGUGGCACUCCACAGAUGUUGCAAUAAGAACAAGAUAGAAGAAAGAUCACAGACAGUGAAGUGCUCCUGCUUCCCUGGGCAGGUAGCAGGUACCACACGGGCAGCUCCUUCUUGUGUCGAUGCUUCAAUAGUGGAGCAGAAAUGGUGGUGCCAUAUGCAACCAUGUCUUGAAGGGGAAGAGUGUAAGGUUCUUCCAGACCGCAAAGGAUGGAGCUGUUCCUCUGGGAAUAAAGUGAAAACAACUAGGUUGUCUUAUAUUCCCUCAGCUUUGGCAGUAUUCCUGGAGCCAAAUGUGAGUGCACUACCUCAAAAUGCCAGCAGUGGAAGCUGGUAGGCAAGUGGGGAAAAAUCACCAGAGGAAUCUCUGAAGCUUGGGACAAAGGCAGAAAACACAUCAGUACUGCACUAACAGAGCAGCAGGUACCCUCAUAGUGAAGAUAAAAUGACAGUCCUUUAUGCCACCACUAUGGAGCUUAUGUCCCACUAUGGAGUUGCGAUCACCACAAAAACCUCAAGAGGAUAUAUCCUUGUCUGAAUUGCUACAGUUAUUAUCUGUUACAGAAAGUAAAAUAAGGUCUACCCAUGGACUUAUUUUCAAAGAACUUUUCAGUUACUGUUUUAUUAUAGUUAAAGACUGAUGAUGUACUUGGAAAAAUGAGUGUUAUCUAUCAGUUUCUAUUGCUUUGGCAAACGUGUAAAACUCCUCAAGUCCGAAUGGAGAAGUAGAGAAAGGAGGUUUCUGCUGUGCCUGAUGUCAAUUUUUGAUUUUUCCACACACAAAAAAUAUUCUGGCUCCACGUUGGGGCACUAGUUGUGAUGAAUCCUAAUCUUGGUCGGAUUCUAAGGAAGGGCCAGAACGUUCGUUGAGGAAUAAAGAGUCAAACUACUCCAGAAAAUGUGUUCCAGCCUUGGUUUAUUACUCACAGAGCAGCAGGUAACCCGAUAGCUAAAGAUAAAUCAAGUCAGUCUUGAGGCUGAUAACAUUAAAUACAACCCAUAGGAAUUUCAUUCCUCCAGGCAAUCCUUGAAGUGAAAUUUUAUAUUGCUGGGGUGUAUCCUUCAGAAUCAAUUGUUCCGAUGAGAACCUGACUUGUAAUCAGCAACAGCCUUGAGAUCAAAACUACUGGAAAGUUAUUUUGAACUUCUCUGUCGCAAAGAUUUCAACUGAUUGAACUGUGUACACUUGUAAAAUUACACUUGCUGAGGAAUUUGCAGCUGUAAUCACAAGAGUUGAUAUUCAAAAGGUGCAGACAAGCAGCAAUCUUUCGGAUUCUCCAUUCCAGAGCGGUGGCUUUUCAUCUUGAUGAAGUCAACCUCCAAAAUGUAUUGGUUUUUCUCUCUAAAAUGAUCCUUAGUCCACCAUUCAGAUUGCUGGUGGGACUGCAUACUGCUUUAAUUAAUUUUUUGUUGCAGAAAUUGUCCUCUGGCAUGGCGCAGUUUCAGACACUUUCAUUUGUAUUCUAAUCUUGGAGCUCUCAAAGGUACAUAUUUCAACAUCUUGAAGUUGCUUUUGUUAUAGGAAUGGAAAUAUAUGUCCAUUGUUAAUAAUUAUUGUUGACAAGUAAUAGUUACCUGAAUACAUCAGUCAUAUUAGAAUGUAUAGUCAGGGUGACAUGUUUCCCUACGGCUAACCAACUACUGCAGCUCUUUGGCAGUUAAAAAAGUAGUGGUCGAAACUCAAAUACCACUUCCAUUAUAAGGCAUUUUAUACCUUUAAGAUAAACAUUUCCGUUUAGUUUGAAGGAGAUGGGUGUUCCUGGUAUGUACUUUGCUUUCCCAACCUUUAAUUCAUUGACAUUUAUGGUAAGCACUCAAUGACAAUAUUUCAUCCCUUUUUAUAAAGGUAGGCAGGGAUGUAAAUGAGUUUUGCAAUUAUGAAAUUGGAUGGUAAUCAUUCAGAAUUUUUGUCUUUUUAUUAAAAAAAUAAAAUCUCUUGCUUGAACCUAAGUACUGUUGGAUGCUUAUGUAGAUGUCUGCUCAGUCUGUUUGCUGUAAAGGAAAAAAGUCCUAGUGCCCUCCCAGAUUUACAGUUUGUGGGUAUUUUGCUUGCUUACAGUCAUCCAAUUCAGAUGCAAUUCUUGCCAAAAUCAUGUUUCCUUUUUUAUUUUUUGUUUCAGUAUCAAUUUUUGAACUUUAUGAUGUGCUGUUACACACACAAAAAAAAUCCUCAAUAUUUAAAGGCCUUAAGCAUCUAUGAGCUUUUUUCCAAGUUAUUACAGAAUGUAUAAUUUUAUACUCCAUUUAAUGUAUAUUGUACCAUCUGUAAUAUUGAUGCAACAGAAAUUUGGCAAUUCCUUUUAGUAACACUGCUAAGCAUGCUGACUAGAGAGGGUAAGGGAGUUCUGACUGUAUGCCUUGGUGCAUUGAAAGGAAAAUCACACACACUUAAUUGUAGUCGAAAUUAUAUAGGGGCAAGCUUAUUUAAAAGUCCUGUGAGGUUACCAGACUCCCAGAAAAAGAGGGAAAUGAUUUUAUCAUUACAAGCCAUUGACAUGGCUAGGUAGUUAUAUAUUAAGUUCUAUGAUGGAUGAACACCCCGGAGUGCUCUGCCUGUCAGAGUAGCCCUCGCUGUUCCAAAAUCAUUCCAUUACCUCUGCUGUGCUAUUGCACAGGAGAGCUUAAAUAAAAUUUAAUAAAAAUUUAAUUGGGAUAAACAUUUUGUAGCACUCACUAGGUAUCUCAGUAUUUUAGGAUGGAUUAAUAUUGUAUGGGUUUGUGCUAACAGGUGCAGGACAUAAGGUAACAUCUUUAAGAGGUUGUCCAGGACAGUGCGAAGUGUAGAUGUGUUGUUUGGUCAGAUCUGAAUACGGUCUCUCUUUGGUCAAAAAUCUACAUCAUGCUUCUCAAUGUUUAUUUUCUUUGUUUCUUUGUUCUUAAACCAAUACUGAAGAUACUGUAUUAUAUUACAAGUGUAACACAUGCAUAUCAAUAAGUGAAAAUAAAUGGAUUUUCAAAUAUACUGAAUAGAUUAUCUGCAGUAGAUUAAUGUUGUGAAUAUUCAUAACAAGUGAAUAAAAUUGUAAUAUAAAAUA